CCUACGGGUGACAGCAGUGAGGAAUAUUGGUCAAUGGACGGAAGUCUGAACCAGCCAUGCCGCGUGCAGGAAGACGGCUCUAUGAGUUGUAAACUGCUUUUGUACAAGGGUAAACCUGAAUACGUGUAUUCAGCUGAAAGUACUGUACGAAUAAGGAUCGGCUAACUCCGUGCCAGCAGCCGCGGUAAUACGGAGGAUCCAAGCGUUAUCCGGAUUUAUUGGGUUUAAAGGGUGCGUAGGCGGAUUGAUAAGUUAGAUGUGAAAUGUCCGAGCUUAACUCGGGAACUGCCUCUAAUACUGUUGAUCUAGAGAGUAGAUGCGGUAGGCGGAAUGUAUGGUGUAGCGGUGAAAUGCUUAGAGAUCAUACAGAACACCGAUUGCGAAGGCAGCUCACUAAUCUAUAUCUGACGUUGAGGCACGAAAGCGUGGGUAGCAAACAGGAUUAGAUACCCCUGUAGUC
rnacentral:rRNA from 1 species